CCUACGGGGGGCAGCAGUGGGGAAUAUUGCACAAUGGGGGAAACCCUGUUGCAGCAACGCGGCGUAAGGGAUGAAGGCCUCCGGUUCUUAAGGCUCUGUCCUAAGGGAAGAAUACUGACGGUACCUUAGGGGGAAGCCCCGGCUAACUACGUGCCAGCAGCCCCGGUAAUACGUAGGGGGCUAGCGUUAUCCGGAAUUACUGGGCGUAAAGGGUGCGUAGGCGGCCUUUCAAGUCAGAGGUGAAAGGCUACGGCUCAACCGUAGUAAGCCUUUGAAACUGUAGGGCUUGAGUGCAGGAGAGGAGAGUGGAAUUCCCAGUGUAGCGGUGAAAUGCGUAGAUAUUGGGAGGAACACCAGUUGCGAAGGCGGCUCUCUGGACUGUAACUGACGCUGAGGCACGAAAGCGUGGGGAGCGAACAGGAUUAGAUACCCGGGUAGUC
rnacentral:rRNA from 1 species